rnacentral:rRNA from 1 species
GUGGACGCCAGUCUGCAUGGAGCCGGCCUUGAAAUACCACCCUUUAAUGUUUGAUGUUCUAACGUGGACCCGUAAUCCGGGUUGCGGACAGUGUCUGGUGGGUAGUUUGACUGGGGCGGUCUCCUCCUAAAGAGUAACGGAGGAGCACGAAGGUUGGCUAAUCCUGGUCGGACAUCAGGAGGUUAGUGCAAUGGCAUAAGCCAGCUUGACUGCGAGCGUGACGGCGCGAGCAGGUGCGAAAGCAGGUCAUAGUGAUCCGGUGGUUCUGAAUGGAAGGGCCAUCGCUCAACGGAUAAAAGGUACUCCGGGGAUAACAGGCUGAUACCGCCCAAGAGUUCAUAUCGACGGCGGUGUUUGGCACCUCGAUGUCGGCUCAUCACAUCCUGGGGCUGAAGUAGGUCCCAAGGGUAUGGCUGUUCGCCAUUUAAAGUGGUACGCGAGCUGGGUUUAGAACGUCGUGAGACAGUUCGGUCCCUAUCUGCCGUGGGCGCUGGAGAACUGAGGGGGGCUGCUCCUAGUACGAGAGGACCGGAGUGGACGCAUCACUGGUGUUCGGGUUGUCAUGCCAAUGGCACUGCCCGGUAGCUAAAUGCGGAAGAGAUAAGUGCUGAAAGCAUCUAAGCACGAAACUUGCCCCGAGAUGAGUUCUCCCUGAGACUUUAGGUCUCCUGAAGGAACGUUGA